rnacentral:rRNA from 1 species
UACGGGGGGGGUAAGCGUUGUUCGGAAUUACUGGGCGUAAAGGGCGCGUAGGCGGCCUUCUAAGUCGAACGUGAAAUCCCCGGGCUUAACCUGGGAACUGCGCUUGUUACUGGCAGACUGGAGUGUGGCAGAGGGGGGUGGAAUUCCAGGUGUAGCAGUGAAAUGCGUAGAUAUCUGGAGGAACACCGAUGGCGAAGGCAGCCCCCUGGGCUAACACUGACGCUGAUGCACGAAAGCGUGGGGAGCAAACAGG